rnacentral:rRNA from 1 species
UUUUAAUAUAUCUAGUUUUUUAAGAAAUAAAUUUAAUUUAGAUAAUUUGGUUUAAUCAUUUAAUUUAAUAAAUUAUUAAAGCAAACUAUUAAUAUUUUAAGGGAUGAGCUUUAAAAUAAAAUUUUAUAAAUAACUAUUAUUAAGUAAUAAUUGUAAGCUUAGAAUUAGCUAUCAAUAGAAAUUAUGUUUUAAUUUAUUUUUUAAUUAAUAUUAUUUAUUAUUUAUUUUAAAUUUUUUAUUAAAAUAUAAAUUUUAAUUUUAUAAAUUUAUUAAUAAUGAUAAAAUUAGUAAAUAUAAAUAAUUAUUUAAAUAAAUUUUUUUUUUGAUUGGUUUUUAUAAUUAAUUCGGCAAAUUUUGUGCUCACCUGUUUAUCAAAAACAUGUCUUUUUGGUUAUUUAAUAUAAAGUCUGACCUGCCCACUGAAUUUAUUUUGAAGGGCCGCAGUAUUUUGACUGUGCAAAGGUAGCAUAAUCAUUAGUCUUUUAAUUGAAGGCUGGUAUGAAUGGUUGGAUGAGGUACAAGCUGUGUCAUAAAAAUUAAAUUUUGAAUUUACCUUUUUAGUCAAAAGGCUAAAAUAAAGUUAAAAGACGAGAAGACCCUAUAGAGCUUUAUAUAAUUUAUAUUUAAAUUAUUAAGAUUUUUUAAAUUUAAUUAUAUUAUUAUAUUUUGUUGGGGUGACAAUAAAAUUUAUAAAACUUUUAUUUUUAUUAAUCAUUUAUUUAUGUUUAUAUGAUCCAGUUUUAUUGAUUAUAAAUUUAAGUUACCUUAGGGAUAACAGCGUAAUUUUUUUUGAGAGUUCUUAUCGACAAAAAAGAUUGCGACCUCGAUGUUGGAUUAAGAGUAAUUUUGGGUGUAGAAGUUCAAAGUUUAAGUCUGUUCGACUUUUAAAUUCUUACAU